rnacentral:rRNA from 1 species
UACAGAGGUCUCAAGCGUUUGUUCGGGAUUCAUUGGGCGUAAAGGGGUGCGUAGGUGGCGCCAUAAGUCAGGUGUGAAAUCCCAGGGCUCAACCCUGGGCGUGCAGUGGAUACGGGCAGGCUGGAGGCAGGCAGGGGAGAACGGAAUUCCCGGUGUGAGCGGUGAAAGUGCGCAGAUAGUCGGGAGGAACACCGGUGGCGAAGGCGGUUCUCUGGGCCUGUACUGGACGCUGAGGAG